UACAGAGGUCUCAAGCGUUGUUCGGAUUCAUUGGGCGUAAAGGGUGCGUAGGUGGCGCGCUAAGUCAGGUGUGAAAUUUCGGAGCUUAACUCCGAAACUGCAUUUGAUACUGGCGUGCUUGAGGACUGGAGAGGAGACUGGAAUUCAUGGUGUAGCAGUGAAAUGCGUAGAGAUCAUGAGGAAGACCAGUGGCGAAGGCGGCUCUCUGGGACGGUACUGACGCUGAGACGCGAAAGCGUGGGGAGCGAACAGG
rnacentral:rRNA from 1 species